CACGUAGGGCGCAAGCGUUGUCCGGAAUUAUUGGGCGUAAAGAGCUCGUAGGCGGUCUGUUGCGUCCGCUGUGAAAACUCGGGGCUUAACCCCGAGCCUGCAGUGGAUACGGGCAGACUAGAGGUAGGUAGGGGAGAAUGGAAUUCCCGGUGUAGCGGUGAAAUGCGCAGAUAUCGGGAGGAACACCGGCGGCGAAGGCGGGUCUCUGGGCAGUAACUGACGCUGAGGAGCGAAAGCGUGGGGAGCGAACAGG
rnacentral:rRNA from 1 species